UCCCUAUUGUUUUUUACCCUGCAGAGGUGAGAGCACAGCCCCAUUCAACAGUUUGGACUGGAUUAAUUUUUAAAGAGUGCUUGGAGGCUACUUGAGGACAAGCAAACACUGCAUGUGGCUGUUGCAUGAGUGAGCAGUCAAAGGGGAAAGCACAACCACAACCUGGCCUCUCAGGGACUCUGCACUGCUUCUGAGGAUAAGGCAGCAGGGUCAGGCUGCAGCAGAAGCUCAGAAAUGUCUUGGAGGAAACCUUGGCCCAUCCCCAGGCACCUCUCUCAAUGCUACACUCUUGCUCCAGUCUCCUGCCUCUUUGCUCGAUGGUUUCCAAGGAAAGCUGCAAAGAUCUGGAAACCUCCUUUGCCAAGGGAAGCAUUUUCCUACGUAUCAUAAGAUGGCUGAAACAGAACCAGUAGAAAGAGACGCCGAUGAUCUGAGCCAUGCAGCAGGAAGGAUACAAAGCGAUUUAUUGCUGUGGACCAUUGAAUCACAGAAUACUUGGGGUUGGAAGAGACCUUUAAAGUUCUCCUAGUCCACCCCCCAAACAAUGAGCAUCUUCAGCUGGAGAGCAGGGUGCUCCAAGCCCAGCCUGCCCCUGGACACUUCCAGUGAUGGGGCAUCCUCAACUUCUCUGGGCGACCUGUGCCUCACCACUCUCUUGCAUCUGUAUCUAAUGGUGUGGGUCCCCUCAUGCAGCUGUCUUGAAGCAACCCCACUCUCCAUUCUGCAGGUGAGUAUUUCCCAAAAUCUGCCUCCUGGAGCCCUCACUGGCAGGCAGAUUGUGGCUGCAGAGGGUGGCAGGCUCUCUGAAAAUGUGACCAGAGCAUGCCCUCUGCUAUAUCUGAA